rnacentral:SRP_RNA from 1 species
GCUGGGCCUGGUGGCAUGUGCCUGUGAUUCCAGCUACUCGGGAGGCUAAGGCAGAAAAAUCGCUAUGCUGAUCGGGUGUCCAAACUAAGUUUGGCAUCAAUACGGUGAUCUCCUGGGAUCAGGGGACCACCAGGUUGCCUAAGGAGGGGUGAACCGACCCAGGUCGGAAACAGAGCAGGUCAAAACUCCUGUGCUGAUCAGUAGUGGGAUCGAGCCUGUGAAUAGCCACUGCACU